AUUGAACGCUGGCGGCAUGCCUUACACAUGCAAGUCGAACGGUAACAGGUCUUCGGAUGCUGACGAGUGGCGAACGGGUGAGUAAUACAUCGGAACGUGCCCAGACGUGGGGGAUAACGAGGCGAAAGCUUUGCUAAUACCGCAUACGAUCUAAGGAUGAAAGCAGGGGACCGCAAGGCCUUGCGCGUUUGGAGCGGCCGAUGGCAGAUUAGGUAGUUGGUGGGAUAAAAGCUUACCAAGCCGACGAUCUGUAGCUGGUCUGAGAGGACGACCAGCCACACCGGGACUGAGACACGGCCCAGACUCCUACGGGAGGCAGCAGUGGGGAAUUUUGGACAAUGGGCGAAAGCCUGAUCCAGCAAUGCCGCGUGCAGGAUGAAGGCCUUCGGGUUGUAAACUGCUUUUGUACGGAACGAAAAGGCUCUGGCUAAUACCUGGGGCACAUGACGGUACCGUAAGAAUAAGCACCGGCUAACUACGU
rnacentral:rRNA from 1 species